rnacentral:tRNA from 1 species
UUCCUGUGGCUCAGUUGAUAGAGAAUUGCGCUAACAACGCAAAAGCCGUAGGUUCAAAUCCCAGUGAAA